UCAAGCUACCAAGGGCACACGGUGGAUGCCUUGGCGCUGGGAGCCGAUGAAGGACGUGGCAAGCUGCGAUAAGCCUCGGCGAGCUGCAAGCAAGCGUUUGAACCGGGGAUUUCCGAAUGGGGAAACCCGCCGCGGGGAAUGCCGCGGCAUCCAUGCCUGAACACAUAGGGCAUGGAAGGGAACCGGGGGAACUGAAACAUCUAAGUACCCCGAGGAAAAGAGACAAUACUGCAUUCCGUAAGUAGCGGCGAGCGAAAGCGGAGGAGCCUAAACCCUGUGCGCGUGAUAGCCUGCAGGCGUUGCGCACGGGGGGUUGUAGGAGCGACCGGGGAUCUCUGCAGGGAUCCGUCCGACACGAAGGUCUUUAGCCGAACGGCCUGGAACGGCCGGCCACAGGGGGUGAAAGCCCCGUAGGCGAAAGGGAUCUUCGGCGGAUGGCCGCCGCCUAAGUACCGCGGGACACGAGAAAUCCCGCGGGAACCCGGGAGGACCACCUCCCAAGGCUAAAUACUACCCAGCGACCGAUAGUGAACUAGUACCGUGAGGGAAAGGUGAAAAGCACCCCGGGAGGGGAGUGAAAUAGUACCUGAAACCGUGUUGCCUACAAACAGUGGGAGGGCUAUGGCGCGAGCCAGCCUGACCGCGUACUUUUUGUAGAACGGACCGGCGACUUACGGUGUGCGGCAAGGUUAAGCGGAUAACGCGGAGCCGAAGCGAAAGCGAGUCUUAACAGGGCGAAUUAGUCGUACGCUGUAGACCCGAAACCGGGCGAUCUAUCCAUGGCCAGGGUGAAGCGGAAGUAACGUUCCGUGGAGGCCCGAACCCAUUAGUGUUGAAAAACUAUGGGAUGAGCUGUGGAUAGGGGUGAAAAGCCAAUCGAGCUCGGAGAUAGCUGGUUCUCCCCGAAAUAGCUUUAGGGCUAGCCUCGGGAAUAGGCUUGCGGAGGUAGAGCACUGAUCGGGCAAGGGGCCCUGAAAGGUUACCGACCCCUUUCAAACUCCGAAUGCCGCAAGCUGGUGCCCGGGAGUCAGACUGUGGGGGCUAAGCUUCAUAGUCGAGAGGGAAACAGCCCAGACCGCCGGCUAAGGUCCCAAAUUGACAGCUAAGUGGUUAAGGAUGUGGAACUGCCCAGACAACCAGGAUGUUGGCUUAGAAGCAGCCAUACAUUUAAAGAGUGCGUAAUAGCUCACUGGUCGAGAGUCUCUGCGCCGACAAUGUAACGGGGCUAAGAUAUAAACCGAAGCUGUGGAAUGUACCGUAUGGUAUAUUGGUAGGAGAGCGUUGUGUAGGCCGGUGAAGGUGUACCGAAAGGAGCACUGGAGGUAUCACAAGUGAGAAUGCAGGAAUGAGUAGCGAAAAAGAGGGUGAGAAUCCCUCUCGCCGGAAGUCCAAGGUUUCCAGGGCAAUGCUUGUCAUCCCUGGGGAAGUCGGGACCUAAGUUGAGGCUUAUAAGCGUAGGCGAAUGGAAAGUAGGUUAAUAUUCCUACACCAGUUAUGUAUUGUGAUGGAGGGACGCAGAAGGGUAGAUACGCUGGGCGACGGUUGUCCCAGUGCAAGCAUGUAGGGUGGCCAGAUAGGAAAAUCCGUUUGGCUAUAUCUGAGGUGUGAUGCGGAGCACGUAAGUGCAGAAGGUAUUGAUCCCACGCUGCCAAGAAAAGCUUCUAACGUUAAGACAUAACUGCCCGUACUGUAAACCGACACAGGUGGACAGCGUGAGAAACGUAAGGCGGACAGGCUAACUCUCGCUAAGGAACUCUGCAAAAUGGCCCCGUAACUUCGGGAGAAGGGGUGCCUUUGAUGGUGAUGGUUCACGCAACCUGAGCUGUCGGAGGCCGCAGUGAAAAGACUCAAGCGACUGUUUAACAAAAACACAGGUCUAUGCUAAGCUGAAAGGCGAUGUAUAUGGGCUGACACCUGCCCAGUGCCGGAAGGUUAAGAGGAGGAGUGAGAGCUCCGAAUUGAAGCCCCGGUGAACGGCGGCCGUAACUAUAACGGUCCUAAGGUAGCGAAAUUCCUUGUCGGGUAAGUUCCGACCUGCACGAAUGGCGUAACGACUUGGGCGCUGUCUCAACGAGGGACUCGGCGAAACUGUAAGUGCACGUGAAGAUACGUGCUACCCACGACUAGACGGAAAGACCCCAUGGAGCUUUACUGCAUCCUGAGAUUGGAUUUUGGCAGGGCAUGUACAGGAUAGGUGGGAGGCUUAGAAGCAACGACGCUAGUUGUUGUGGAGCCACCCUUGGGAUACCACCCUUGUUUUGCUGGAGUUCUAACCCGCGGCCGUGAUCCGGCUGGGGGACAUUCUCAGGUGGGCAGUUUGACUGGGGCGGUCGCCUCCUAAAAGGUAACGGAGGCGCCCAAAGGUUCCCUCAGCGCGGUUAGAAAUCGCGCGCAGAGUGCAAAGGCAGAAGGGAGCUUGACUGCGAGACGUACAUGUCGAGCAGGGACGAAAGUCGGGCUUAGCGAUCAGGUGGUUCCGAGUGGAAGGGCCAUCGCUCAACGGAUAAAAGCUACCCUGGGGAUA
rnacentral:rRNA from 1 species